rnacentral:rRNA from 1 species
GUGAGGAAUAUUGGUCAAUGGGCGAGAGCCUGAACCAGUCAAGUCGCGUGAAGGAAGAAGGAUCUAUGGUUCGUAAACUUCUUUUGCAGGGGAAUAAAGUGCGGGACGUGUCCUGUUUUGUAUGUACCCUGAGAAUAAGGAUCGGCUAACUCCGUGCCAGCAGCCGCGGUAAUACGGAGGAUCCGAGCGUUAUCCGGAUUUAUUGGGUUUAAAGGGUGCGUAGGUGGUUUGAUAAGUCAGCGGUGAAAGUUUGCAGCUUAACUGUAAAAAUGCCGUUGAAACUGUCGGACUUGAGUGUAAAUGAGGUAGGCGGAAUGCGUGGUGUAGCGGUGAAAUGCAUAGAUAUCACGCAGAACUCCGAUUGCGAAGGCAGCUUACUAAGCUACAACUGACACUGAAGCACGAAAGCGUGGGGAUCAAACAGGAUUAGAAACCCCAGUAGUCC